UACGGAGGGGUGCGAGCGUUGUCCGGAAUCACUGGGCGUAAAGGGCGCGUAGGCGGCGCGGGCAGUCAACGGUGAAAGCUUGGGGCUCAACCCCGAGUCGGCCGUCGAUACUCCCGGGCUGGAGCACUGUAGAGGCAGGUGGAAUUCCGGGUGUAGCGGUGGAAUGCGUAGAGAUCCGGAAGAACACCGGUGGCGAAGGCGGCCUGCUGGGCAGUAGCUGACGCUGAUGCGCGACAGCGUGGGGAGCAAACAGG
rnacentral:rRNA from 1 species